rnacentral:rRNA from 1 species
CAGCAGCAGCCGCGGUAAUACAGAGGGUGCGAGCGUUAAUCGGAUUUACUGGGCGUAAAGCGUGCGUAGGCGGCUUUUUAAGUCGGAUGUGAAAUCCCUGAGCUUAACUUAGGAAUUGCAUUCGAUACUGGGAAGCUAGAGUAUGGGAGAGGAUGGUAGAAUUCCAGGUGUAGCGGUGAAAUGCGUAGAGAUCUGGAGGAAUACCGAUGGCGAAGGCAGCCAUCUGGCCUAAUACUGACGCUGAGGUACGAAAGCGUGGGGAGCAAACAGGAUUAGAUACCCGGGUAGUCCCUGUCUCUUAUAC